UACGUAGGGACCAAGCGUUGUUCGGAUUUACUGGGCGUAAAGGGCGCGUAGGCGGCAUGACAAGUCCGUUGUGAAAGCCCCGGGCUCAACCUGGGAAUGGCAGUGGAAACUAGGGGACUGGAAUCUGGCAGAGGGGGGUGGAAUGCCGCGUGUAGCAGUGAAAUGCGUAGAGAUGCGGCGGAACACCGAUGGCGAAGGCAGCCCCCUGGGCUGAGAUUGACGCUCAGGCACGAAAGCGUGGGGAGCAAACAGG
rnacentral:rRNA from 1 species